rnacentral:rRNA from 1 species
AACGAACGCUGGCGGCAGGCUUAACACAUGCAAGUCGAGCGCCCCGCAAGGGGAGCGGCAGACGGGUGAGUAACGCGUGGGAAUCUACCCUUUUCUACGGAAUAACGCAGGGAAACUUGUGCUAAUACCGUAUAAGCCCUUCGGGGGAAAGAUUUAUCGGGAAAGGAUGAGCCCGCGUUGGAUUAGCUAGUUGGUGGGGUAAUGGCCUACCAAGGCGACGAUCCAUAGCUGGUCUGAGAGGAUGAUCAGCCACAUUGGGACUGAGACACGGCCCAAACUCCUACGGGAGGCAGCAGUGGGGAAUAUUGGACAAUGGGCGCAAGCCUGAUCCAGCCAUGCCGCGUGAGUGAUGAAGGCCCUAGGGUUGUAAAGCUCUUUCACCGGUGGAGAUAAUGACGGUAACCGGAGAAGGAGCCCCGGCUAACUUCGUGCCAGCCGCCGCAGUAAGAC